CGUUCGUAUCAUGUUGAAACACCGGUUAUGGUACGAUCACUGAAGUUAAGCAACGUCGAGCCUAGCCACUACCUAGAUGAGUGACCGCUUGGGUAUACCAGGUGUUGCAAG